CUUGACCCCGCCUCUUGGUCCGUCGUGAGCAGGGAUGGCGUAGAACGAGUUACCGUCCUCGGGUUCCCAGAUAAAGAUGGGGAAGCGGUGGGGGAGGAAGGGUUCGAUGCCGCCCUUCGGGUCGAACCAGAACAGGAGCUGGCGCGUAACCUCUAGCGGGAGGCCGAGGUCGGCGAGCAGCUUCGGCGCCCACGCUCCGGCCGAGACCACCAUCCGCUCCGCCUCGUAAGUCCCCGAUGCCGUCUCCACCAGCACCCCGGACUCAGUAAGUUCCCAGGACAGCAGUU
rnacentral:misc_RNA from 1 species